AUUUGAGCAAACUCCAGCAGAUAGUAGAGGACAGAGGAGACUGUCAUGCUGCAGUCCAUGAGGUCACAAAGAGUCAGACACAACUUAGCAACUGAACGACAACAACUGACACUUGGGGUUGUUUGUCAAAGCAGUUGUCCUAAUAGAUGAGAUAUGGCAGGUUUCUGGGCAGGAUCAGCAACAGAUGGCAGCAGGAUCUCCACGGAAGGAAACAAAGCGCAGUGACCAGAGGGAAAUGGACAGAGUCCAGAUCAGGGUCUCCCAGGUGGCACUAGAAGCCGCAGCCUGACAUUAACUGAGCAUGACAAGAGGGAGAGCGAAGGACUGGGGUUCCCACUGUACUGUAGCCCUUGAAGGCACAGUUUGCACAAUAACGAAUGAGCACCAUAAUAACAAUUCAAUUUUCUGAGAACUGACUAGACCAAAAUGUUCCAUCCACCAGAAGAUACUUUUCUUGGCUGGUCAUGCCCCAUCAUGGGUCCAGUGCAACUGUCCUCCUCAAGGAGAGGAGGUCCCUCUCCACCCCGACAGAGCCCUCCCAGACCUCUCUACCCACAGGCUUCUCCCCUGAACUGCUCCCUAUUUCAUUGUCUUCACGGCACUCCCCUGACAAUUAAUCACCACUUACCAGCUGUAUGACCUUCAGUAAUCCCAGAAGCUUGUCGUGAGAAUUUAAUGAGAUCAAGCCUAUAAAAUAAAUACCUAUCACAGAGUGGGGCACAGGCUGCGGCUGGGCAAUAAAUGGAAUAAAUAAAUGGAAGCUCUUGUUGUUGUUGCGGCCCGUUUGCCUUGUGACAUUUCUUCUGUGCAUGUUACAUACGUCCUCUUCCCCUGCUAUUUAACUGUGUGUGACACUGGCACUCCCUGGCACUCAGAGCAGCGUCCUCUCGGAAAAAGAUCACAGGGAAUGUUGCUGCUGGUGACCAAGCCGUAGGUCCCUUGCUUUUCCCAACCACUUUGGCUUCUUA
rnacentral:lncRNA from 1 species